GGACUACCAGGGUAUCUAAUCCUGUUCGCUCCCCAUGCUUUCGCUCCUCAGCGUCAGUUAUGGCCCAGAGAUCCGCCUUCGCCACCGGUGUUCCUCCUGAUAUCUGCGCAUUCCACCGCUACACCAGGAAUUCCGAUCUCCCCUACCACACUCUAGUCUGCCCGUACCCACCGCAGGCUCAGGGUUAAGCCCUGAGUUUUCACGGCAGACGCGACAAACCGCCUACGAGCUCUUUACGCCCAAUAAUUCCGGACAACGCUUGCACCCUACGUAUUACCGCGGCUGCUGGCAC
rnacentral:rRNA from 1 species